rnacentral:rRNA from 1 species
AGAGUUUGAUCCUGGCUCAGGACGAACGCUGGCGGCGUGCCUAAUACAUGCAAGUAGAACGCUGAAGAGAGGAGCUUGCUCUUCUUGGAUGAGUUGCGAACGGGUGAGUAACGCGUAGGUAACCUGCCUUGUAGCGGGGGAUAACUAUUGGAAACGAUAGCUAAUACCGCAUAACAAUGGAUGACACAUGUCAUUUAUUUGAAAGGGGCAAUUGCUCCACUACAAGAUGGACCUGCGUUGUAUUAGCUAGUAGGUGAGGUAACGGCUCACCUAGGCGACGAUACAUAGCCGACCUGAGAGGGUGAUCGGCCACACUGGGACUGAGACACGGCCCAGACUCCUACGGGAGGCAGCAGUAGGGAAUCUUCGGCAAUGGGGGCAACCCUGACCGAGCAACGCCGCGUGAGUGAAGAAGGUUUUCGGAUCGUAAAGCUCUGUUGUAAGUCAAGAACGGGUGUGAGAGUGGAAAGUUCACACUGUGACGGUAGCUUACCAGAAAGGGACGGCUAACUACGUGCCAGCAGCCGCGGUAAUACGUAGGUCCCGAGCGUUGUCCGGAUUUAUUGGGCGUAAAGCGAGCGCAGGCGGUUUGAUAAGUCUGAAGUUAAAGGCUGUGGCUCAACCAUAGUUCGCUUUGGAAACUGUCAAACUUGAGUGCAGAAGGGGAGAGUGGAAUUCCAUGUGUAGCGGUGAAAUGCGUAGAUAUAUGGAGGAACACCGGUGGCGAAAGCGGCUCUCUGGUCUGUAACUGACGCUGAGGCUCGAAAGCGUGGGGAGCAAACAGGAUUAGAUACCCUGGUAGUCCACGCCGUAAACGAUGAGUGCUAGGUGUUGGAUCCUUUCCGGGAUUCAGUGCCGCAGCUAACGCAUUAAGCACUC